rnacentral:rRNA from 1 species
GAUGAACGCUGGCGGCGUGCCUAAUACAUGCAAGUCGAGCGAACGGACGAGAAGCUUGCUUCUCUGAUGUUAUCGGCGGACGGGUGAGUAACACGUGGAUAACCUACCUAUAAGACUGGGAUAACUUCGGGAAACCGGAGCUAAUACCGGAUAAUAUUUUGAACCGCAUGGUUCAAAAGUGAAAGACGGUCUUGCUGUCACUUAUAGAUGGAUCCGCGCUGCAUUAGCUAGUUGGUAAGGUAACGGCUUACCAAGGCAACGAUGCAUAGCCGACCUGAGAGGGUGAUCGGCCACACUGGAACUGAGACACGGUCCAGACUCCUACGGGAGGCAGCAGUAGGGAAUCUUCCGCAAUGGGCGAAAGCCUGACGGAGCAACGCCGCGUGAGUGAUGAAGGUCCUCGGACCGUAAAACUCUGUUAUUAGGGAAGAACAUAUGUGUAAGUAACUGUGCACAUCUUGACGGUACCUAAUCAGAAAGCCACGGCUAACUACGUG